AUGCCGAGGCGGUCAGCUAUCGCAUAUAUCCAUGAUGACAAAGAGCGUGAUUUCACAUUCUUCAAGCGACGCGGCGGUUUGUUUAAGAGUAUUGCUGGUCUCUCUGCUGUCACUGGUGCUAGGGUUGCUGUCGUCCUAGAGACAGAAAAUGAGACGAUGCAUUCCUUUGGGACGCCAUCUGCUGACCCCAUUGCUGAUGCUUUUCUAUCAGGAGCACCACUAGUAGUUCCACUUGAUGAUGAGGCAACAACUGCCAGAAUAGCCCAGCUACAAAGUGAGGUGGCUCGGCUUGAUAUGAAUUGCAUGAAGGAGUACAAGGAAAACCAACUUUCCAUCGAGCGUAUGAAACAAAUCCAAGAGCAGUGCCCAGGUAUGGCAGCAAACCAUAUCUUCUCGAAGGAAGAAGAUCUCAGCCCUGGAGAUCUCAACAAUCUAUCCAAUGAAAUCUCUCGUUUCCAUGAGGACAUUGGACAUCGACUGCCACAACUACAUCAUGGACACAAAGCCAUGACUGGUCGUGCAAGCAUAAAACAAAACAUGCUACCAUCAAGUGGUCCACCAUCGGAUCGCAUGAGGACUACCCCUUCAUCAGUGCACUCACUAUGGGAUCACCAUCUUCCACAACACCAAAUGCAUUCAUCUCCACUUCCAUCACCACCAGGACACAUCAUGGCACCAGGUUUUUCUCAGGUACCACCAAUAUUCCAUCCCGCAUCAUCUCCUUUAGUGCCACAAUUGGCUUCCCAGCAAGAGACCGCACCUAAUCAGGCACAUGAACUACCUCCACCACAAGAUAUAAGUGUCAAGGAUUAUGUAAGUCCUUGCAACCCAGUGAACCCACAACAGAAUGAUGCAAACUCUAACUCAACAUCUAGGUAUAAUUUGGCGGUCUCUCCACUGUUGGUCUACUCUGGUGGAAAUGAUUUUACCGUCAAUGACCCAUUUGUCUAUGAAUCAUGGGGUUAUGCUCUAUCGGAUCAACCAUUCCGCAAUGAAUAUAUAGAGAAGGAUGCUUCCUUGGGCUAUAAUGGUGCCGAUGUAGGGCAAUCUUCCAUGGGAAAUGGUGGAUGGGUUGAUAAGCCACCGGAAUCUUCUUCUAGCUAG
rnacentral:rRNA from 1 species